CCUACGGGAGGCAGCAGUGGGGAAUAUUGCACAAUGGGCGCAAGCCUGAUGCAGCCAUGCCGCGUGUGUGAAGAAGGCCUUCGGGUUGUAAAGCACUUUCAGCGGGGAGGAAGGCGGUGAGGUUAAUAACCUCAUCGAUUGACGUUACCCGCAGAAGAAGCACCGGCUAACUCCGUGCCAGCAGCCGCGGUAAUACGGAGGGUGCAAGCGUUAAUCGGAAUUACUGGGCGUAAAGCGCACGCAGGCGGUCUGUCAAGUCGGAUGUGAAAUCCCCGGGCUCAACCUGGGAACCGCAUUCGAAACUGGCAGGCUAGAGUCUUGUAGAGGGGGGUAGAAUUCCAGGUGUAGCGGUGAAAUGCGUAGAGAUCUGGAGGAAUACCGGUGGCGAAGGCGGCCCCCUGGACAAAGACUGACGCUCAGGUGCGAAAGCGUGGGGAGCAAACAGGAUUAGAUACCCGUGUAGUC
rnacentral:rRNA from 1 species